CCUACGGGAGGCAGCAGUGAGGAAUAUUGGUCAAUGGGCGCGAGCCUGAACCAGCCAAGUAGCGUGAAGGAAGACUGCCCUACGGGUUGUAAACUUCGUUUUUAAAGGAAGAAAGUGAGGCACGUGUGCCUUUUUGUCUGUACCUUAUGAAUAAGGAUCGGCUAACUCAGUGCCAGUAGCCGCGGUAAUACGGAGGCUCCGAGCGUUAUCCGGAUUUAUUGGGUUUAAAAGGAGCGUAGAUGGGUUAUUAAGGCAGUUGUGAAAGUUUGCGGCUCAACCGUAAAAUUGCAAUUGAUACUGGCAGUCUUGAGUACAGUUGAGGUAGGCGGAAUUCGUGGUGUAGCGGUGAAAUGCGUAGAUAUCACGAAGAACUCCGAUUGCGAAAGCAGCUUACUAGCCUGCCACUGACGUUGAUGCUCGAAAGUGUGGGUAGCAAACAGGAUUAGAUACCCUGGUAGUC
rnacentral:rRNA from 1 species